UGUCAACUAUCUGAUAUUCCGAUUCUUCGUUUAAAAACCUUUAUAAAUUAUCUUGAUCUAUAACGAGAUGAGCGCUGCAGUUCAGAGUCCUGUCAGCCGGAUUUAACGUACAGCACUUGAAUUCCCCAGUUUCUCCCGAAAUACAUGAAAGUAAGUGGCUGUUGAACUGGACGAAGAAUAGAGUAAAUUUUAUUGUUCUGCUAUGUGUGUCUGAUAUAUGAAUAAAACACGUCUGCAAAUUAUAUUUGAUAAGAUAGUUGUCACUGUGUAUUUUACAAACUACCAAUGUAUUGUUUUACUAGUGAUUAUGUAUAUUUAAAUGUAUGAAACCUAAAAUAAACAUUAUGUGGUUGAAAACA